AUCAAGAUGUCUGAUUAAAGUAAUAAAUUGUAAAUUUAUUUAAGAAAUAAAAUUCUCUUGAUA
rnacentral:tRNA from 1 species